ACUGGGUGUGGUGGUGCAUGCCUGUAAUCCCAGCAACUCAGGAGGCUGAGGCAGGACUGUGAGUUCAAAGCCAGCUUUAGCAACAUAGCAAGGCCUUAACCAACUUAGUGAGAUCCUGUCUCUA
rnacentral:sRNA from 1 species